rnacentral:misc_RNA from 1 species
GGAGGAAACUGAGGACUUUGAUGACGCUGACGAGGAUCUUACAGAUGAUGACGUAGAGAACAACAGCGGCGAAUCAGAGGAGGUAACCAGUUUACCAAUGAUGACCACAGAGACCUCCUACAUUAUUCAGUAGAUCCAUUUUUUCUACCCUACAUUAUUUCAUCUUUUCUGUUUAACUUCAGUUAUACUAAUAAAAUAUAUUUUUUGUU